UGCGUAGGGAGCAAGCGUUGUCCGGAAUCAUUGGGCGUAAAGCGCGCGUAGGCGGCCUCAUAAGUCCGUUGUGAAAGUCAAAGGCUCAACCUUUGAAAGCCGAUGGAUACUGUGAGGCUAGAGUCCGGAAGAGGCGAGUGGAAUUCCUGGUGUAGCGGUGGAAUGCGCAGAUAUCAGGAGGAACACCAAUAGCGAAGGCAGCUCGCUGGGACGGUACUGACGCUAAGGCGCGAAAGCGUGGGGAGCAAACAGG
rnacentral:rRNA from 1 species